rnacentral:rRNA from 1 species
GACGAGGGGUCCUAGCGUUGUUCGGAAUCACUGGGCGUAAAGCGCAUGUAGGCGGCUUGGUAAGUCAGUUGUGAAAGCCCUGGGCUCAACCCAGGAAGUGCAUCUGAUACUGCUAAGCUUGAAUAUGGGAGAGGGUAGUGGAAUUCCUGGUGUAGUGGUGAAAUACGUAGAUAUCAGGAGGAACACCGGCGGCGAAGGCGGCUACCUGGCCCAAUAUUGACGCUGAGAUGCGAAAGCGUGGGGAGCAAACAGG